rnacentral:rRNA from 1 species
GGUUAAGCGACUAAGCGUACACGGUGGAUGCCCUGGCAGUCAGAGGCGAUGAAGGGCGUGCUAAUCUGCGAUAAGCGCCGGUAAGGUGAUAUGAACCGUUAUAACCGGCGAUACCCGAAUGGGGAAACCCAGUGUGAUUCGUCACACUAUCAUUAACUGAAUCCAUAGGUUAAUGAGGCGAACCGGGGGAACUGAAACAUCUAAGUACCCCGAGGAAAAGAAAUCAACCGAGAUUCCCCCAGUAGCGGCGAGCGAACGGGGAGGAGCCCAGAGCCUGAAUCAGCAUGUGUGUUAGUGGAAGCGUCUGGAAAGGCGCGCGAUACAGGGUGACAGCCCCGUACACAAAAGCGCAUGUGCUGUGAGCUCGAUGAGUAGGGCGGGACACGUGGUAUCCUGUCUGAAUAUGGGGGGACCAUCCUCCAAGGCUAAAUACUCCUGACUGACCGAUAGUGAACCAGUACCGUGAGGGAAAGGCGAAAAGAACCCCGGCGAGGGGAGUGAAAAAGAACCUGAAACCGUGUACGUACAAGCAGUGGGAGCACAGGUUUACCUGUGUGACUGCGUACCUUUUGUAUAAUGGGUCAGCGACUUAUAUUCUGUAGCAAGGUUAACCGUAUAGGGGAGCCGGAGGGAAACCGAGUCUUAAUUGGGCGUUAAGUUGCAGGGUAUAGACCCGAAACCCGGUGAUCUAGCCAUGGGCAGGUUGAAGGUUGGGUAACACUAACUGGAGGACCGAACCGACUAAUGUUGAAAAAUUAGCGGAUGACCUGUGGCUGGGGGUGAAAGGCCAAUCAAACCGGGAGAUAGCUGGUUCUCCCCGAAAGCUAUUUAGGUAGCGCCUCGUGAAUUCAUCUCCGGGGGUAGAGCACUGUUUCGGCUAGGGGGCCAUCCCGGCUUACCAACCCGAUGCAAACUGCGAAUACCGGAGAAUGUUAUCACGGGAGACACACGGCGGGUGCUAACGUCCGUCGUGAAGAGGGAAACAACCCAGACCGCCAGCUAAGGUCCCAAAGUCAUGGUUAAGUGGGAAACGAUGUGGGAAGGCCCAGACAGCCAGGAUGUUGGCUUAGAAGCAGCCAUCAUUUAAAGAAAGCGUAAUAGCUCACUGGUCGAGUCGGCCUGCGCGGAAGAUGUAACGGGGCUAAACCAUGCACCGAAGCUGCGGCAGCGAACGUAUCACUUAAAGCGAUUCAGCGGGUUACGAUUGACGGAGCGAAGCGACGUCAAAGCGUAUACAAAGUCGAGUCGGUUUAAGGAUACGUUCGUUGGGUAGGGGAGCGUUCUGUAAGCCCGUGAAGGUGGCCUGUGAGGGUUGCUGGAGGUAUCAGAAGUGCGAAUGCUGACAUAAGUAACGAUAAAGCGGGUGAAAAGCCCGCUCGCCGGAAGACCAAGGGUUCCUGUCCAACGUUAAUCGGGGCAGGGUGAGUCGACCCCUAAGGCGAGGCCGAAAGGCGUAGUCGAUGGGAAACGGGUUAAUAUUCCCGUACUUGGUGUUACUGCGAAGGGGGGACGGAGAAGGCUAUGUUGGCCGGGCGACGGUUGUCCCGGUUUAAGCGUGUAGGUGUGUGUUCCAGGUAAAUCCGGUUCACUUUAACACUGAGGCGUGACGACGAGGCACUACGGUGCUGAAGCAACAAAUGCCCUGCUUCCAGGAAAAGCCUCUAAGCAUCAGGUAACACGAAAUCGUACCCCAAACCGACACAGGUGGUCAGGUAGAGAAUACCAAGGCGCUUGAGAGAACUCGGGUGAAGGAACUAGGCAAAAUGGUGCCGUAACUUCGGGAGAAGGCACGCUGACACGUAGGUGAAGUGAUUUACUCAUGGAGCUGAAGUCAGUCGAAGAUACCAGCUGGCUGCAACUGUUUAUUAAAAACACAGCACUGUGCAAACACGAAAGUGGACGUAUACGGUGUGACGCCUGCCCGGUGCCGGAAGGUUAAUUGAUGGGGUCAGCGCAAGCGAAGCUCCUGAUCGAAGCCCCGGUAAACGGCGGCCGUAACUAUAACGGUCCUAAGGUAGCGAAAUUCCUUGUCGGGUAAGUUCCGACCUGCACGAAUGGCGUAAUGAUGGCCAGGCUGUCUCCACCCGAGACUCAGUGAAAUUGAACUCGCUGUGAAGAUGCAGUGUACCCGCGGCAAGACGGAAAGACCCCGUGAACCUUUACUAUAGCUUGACACUGAACAUUGAGCCUUGAUGUGUAGGAUAGGUGGGAGGCUUUGAAGUGUGGACGCCAGUCUGCAUGGAGCCGACCUUGAAAUACCACCCUUUAAUGUUUGAUGUUCUAACGUGGACCCGUAAUCCGGGUUGCGGACAGUGUCUGGUGGGUAGUUUGACUGGGGCGGUCUCCUCCUAAAGAGUAACGGAGGAGCACGAAGGUUGGCUAAUCCUGGUCGGACAUCAGGAGGUUAGUGCAAUGGCAUAAGCCAGCUUGACUGCGAGCGUGACGGCGCGAGCAGGUGCGAAAGCAGGUCAUAGUGAUCCGGUGGUUCUGAAUGGAAGGGCCAUCGCUCAACGGAUAAAAGGUACUCCGGGGAUAACAGGCUGAUACCGCCCAAGAGUUCAUAUCGACGGCGGUGUUUGGCACCUCGAUGUCGGCUCAUCACAUCCUGGGGCUGAAGUAGGUCCCAAGGGUAUGGCUGUUCGCCAUUUAAAGUGGUACGCGAGCUGGGUUUAGAACGUCGUGAGACAGUUCGGUCCCUAUCUGCCGUGGGCGCUGGAGAACUGAGGGGGGCUGCUCCUAGUACGAGAGGACCGGAGUGGACGCAUCACUGGUGUUCGGGUUGUCAUGCCAAUGGCACUGCCCGGUAGCUAAAUGCGGAAGAGAUAAGUGCUGAAAGCAUCUAAGCACGAAACUUGCCCCGAGAUGAGUUCUCCCUGAGACUUAGAGUCUCCUGAAGGAACGUUGAAGACGACGACGUUGAUAGGCCGGGUGUGUAAGCGCAGCGAUGCGUUGAGCUAACCGGUACUAAUGAACCGUGAGGCUUAACCUU